rnacentral:rRNA from 1 species
UGCAAGUCGAGCGCACCUUCGGGUGAGCGGCGGACGGGUGAGUAACGCGUGGGAACGUGCCCUUCUCUGCGGAAUAGCCACUGGAAACGGUGAGUAAUACCGCAUACGCCCUUCGGGGGAAAGAUUUAUCGGAGAAGGAUCGGCCCGCGUUAGAUUAGGUAGUUGGUGGGGUAAUGGCCUACMAAGCCUACGAUCUAUAGCUGGUUUGAGAGGAUGAUCAGCCACACUG